GGCUCUUCGGUUUCUCAGCGACUCCUCCGCGAUGACAAGGGUAAAUCCGACAACCAUAGUUUAAUUUCCGGCGGCGAAUAAGAAGAUUCACGCGUCCCUCGUCUUUCGCGACGAUUGGUCGUGCUAUUCGCCAAAGGAGAUCAGAGGAUCGCCGACGGUGGACUCCGCCGGCGAGAGGAUUGUCUGGAUCUCAUUUCCGGCGGACGGCGGUUUAUGGUAUUAAGGGUGGGCAGCGGUUUUGAGGUUGAAGAGAGAUCUUGCGGCGAUUGAUUCUGCUGGAGAAGGAAAAUUAGGUUUAUGAAGUUUCGGAAAAUAUCAAUUUAACCCCAGAUUUAGGGUUAGGGUUUCCAUAAUUUCAAAUUUGGUCCCCUAAUUUAAGUUAUUCCUGAUUUUGGGCCGGGGUCGAUUUGAAAUAAUGAAAAAUCCGUAUUACAGCCUCAGGCUUUCGAAAACUGCAUUUCAGUCCCCGUUUUUCAAGUCUCUCUCAAAACAGUGAUAUACAUUUAGAAAAUACAGUUUAACCCCCAAAAUUAAGUAUUUCUGAAUCUUAGGUCCCUUUUCACUCAAAGGCUUUUCUUUCAAAAUUUCUAUUCAGUCCUUCAAGUUUUUUUUUUGGCUUUUCUGAAUUUGGGGCAAAUGCAAUUUUUUAAGGAAUGGAAAAUUGAUUUUAAGUUUUUACAAAAAGGUUUUGGGGCCACUUGAAAUUUAUGUUUUAUGAAGAAUCAAACGAA
rnacentral:lncRNA from 1 species